rnacentral:rRNA from 1 species
UACGUAGGGUGCAAGCGUUGUCCGGAAUUAUUGGGCGUAAAGAGCUCGUAGGCGGUUUGUCGCGUCUGCUGUGAAAACGCGAGGCUCAACCUCGCGCCUGCAGUGGGUACGGGCAGACUAGAGUGCGGUAGGGGAGAUUGGAAUUCCUGGUGUAGCGGUGGAAUGCGCAGAUAAUCAGGAGGAACACCGAUGGCGAAGGCAGAUCUCUGGGCCGUAACUGACGCUGAGGAGCGAAAGCGUGGGGAGCGAACAGG